rnacentral:rRNA from 1 species
GAUGAACGCUGGCGGCGUGCCUAAUACAUGCAAGUAGAACGCUGAAGGAGGCGCUUGCUCUUCUGGAUGAGUUGCGAAAGGGUGAGUAACGAGUAGGUAACCUGCCUGGUAGCGGGGGAUAACUAUUGGAAACGAUAGCUAAUAACGCAUGACAACAGUUAUUGCAUGAUAACUGUUUAAAAGGGGCAACUGCUCCACUACCAGAUGGACCUGCGUUGUAUUAGCUAGUUGGUGAGGUAACGGCUCACCAAGGCGACGAUACAUAGCCGACCUGAGAGGGUGAUCGGCCACACUGGGACUGAGACACGGCCCAGACUCCUACGGGAGGCAGCAGUAGGGAAUCUUCGGCAAUGGACGGAAGGCUGACCGAGCAACGCCGCGUGAGUGAAGAAGGGUUUCGGAUCGGAAAGCUCUGUUGUAAGUGAAGAACGAGUGUGAGAGUGGAAAGUUCACACUGUGACGGUAGCUUACCAGAAAGGGACGGCUAACUACGUG